rnacentral:rRNA from 1 species
UACGUAGGUGGCGAGCGUUGUCCGGAAUUACUGGGUGUAAAGGGCGUGUAGGCGGGAAUGCAAGUCAGAUGUGAAAUCCCCAGGCUUAACCUGGGAGCUGCAUCUGAAACUGUGUUUCUUGAGUGCUGGAGAGGAAAGCGGAAUUCCUAGUGUAGCGGUGAAAUGCGUAGAUAUUAGGAGGAACACCAGUGGCGAAGGCGGCUUUCUGGACAGUAACUGACGCUGAGGCGCGAAAGCGUGGGGAGCAAACAGG